rnacentral:rRNA from 1 species
UACGUAGGCAGCAAGCGUUGUUCGGAGUUACUGGGCGUAAAGGGUGCGUAGGCGGCUAUUUAAGUUUGGUGUGAAAUCUCCCGGCUCAACUGGGAGGGUGCGCCGAAUACUGAGUGGCUAGAGUGCGGGAGAGGAAAGUGGAAUUCCUGGUGUAGCGGUGAAAUGCGUAGAUAUCAGGAGGAACACCGGUGGUGUAAACGGCUUUCUGGACCAUAACUGACGCUGAGGCACGAAAGCGUGGGUAGCAAACAGG